GUCACUAGUGAUGAGUUGGAUACCGCCCCAGUCUGAUUUCUGUGACUGAAGGUGUUUUCUGACCUGUG